rnacentral:rRNA from 1 species
UUAGGUACCGUCAAUGCCGGAGGUAUUAUCUCCGGGUUUUCUUUCCUAAUAAAAGUGCUUUACAACCCGCAGGCCUUCUUCACACACGCGGCAUUGCUGCAUCAGGCUUGCGCCCAUUGUGCAAUAUUCCCCA